rnacentral:lncRNA from 1 species
GAGUUACCUCUGCUGCAGAGGAUGUUCAUUAGAGUUAACUGCACCUCAGGUUGCAGCCCAAAUAAAUGCUUCAGAGUUCAAGUAACAGACACAUCUCAACAUCAAUUGUUCAGAGGAGACUGCCUGAAUCAGGCCUUCGUGGUCAAAUUGCUGCAAAGAAACCACCAAUUUGAAGAAGAGACUUGCUUGGGCAAAGAAACACGAGCAAUGGACAUUAGACCGGUGGAAAUCUGUCCUUGAGUCGAGUCCAAAUGUGAGAUUUUUAGUUCCAACCAACGUGUCUUUGUGAGACGCAGAGUAGGUGAACAGAUGAUCUCCUCAUGUGGUUCCCACCCUGAAGCGUGGGGGUGCCUUGCUGGUGACACUGAUUUUAUUUAGAAUUCAAGGCACACUUAACCAGCAUGGCUACCACAGCAUUCUGCACCGAUACGCCAUGCCAUCUGGUUUAUGCUUCGUCCCACUAUCAUCUGUUUUUCAACAGGGCAAUGACCCAAAAUACACCUCCAGGCUGUGUAAGGGCUAUUUGACCAAGGAGAGUGAUGGAGUGCUGCAUCAGAUGACCUGGCCUUCGCAAUCACCCGACCUUAACCAAUUGAGAUGGUUUGGGAUGAGUUGGACCUCCGAGUGAAGGAAAAGUAACCAAGUGCUCAGCAUAUGUGGUAACUCCUUCAAGACCGUUGGAAAAGCAUUCCUCAUGAAGCUGGCUGAGAGAAUGCCCAGAGUGUGCAAAGCUGUCAAAGGCAAAAGCAAUACUUUGUCCUGCUAAUCAUCACCGAUGGCGAGAUCACGGACCUGGACCAGACCCGUGACGCCAUCGUCAAGGCCUCACGGCUGCCCAUGUCCAUCAUCAUCAUCGGGGUGGGGGAAGCAGACUUCAAGGCCAUGGAGCUGCUAGAUGGAGACGACGGCGUACUCAAGUCCCUGAGUGGCGAGCCCGUGACCAGGGAUAUUGUGCAGUUUGUGCCUCUCAGACAGUUUGCCAAUGCCCCUAAGGAAGCCCUCGCCCAGAGUGUCUUGGCUGAAGUGCCCAAUCAACUUGUGUCCUACUUCAAGAUGCUGAAACUGGAUCCAGUCAACAUUCCUGCCCUCAAAGCUUAGUGGAGCAAGCAGAACUGCAGCACUUUGCAUUCCUAGCCACAUGAGGGAGACGGGUUAUGCCCACUGUUUGAUGUGAAAAUCCUGAAAUUAUUUCAUACUGUCAAUGCUCAUUUUGCCUUUUAAUGCCACUUAUGACAAUUCUGACCAUAUAUAAUUUUUUCCUACAUUCAUAGAUAUUUCUCAUUCUUUGCUGCUUCAGAUAUUCUUCUUUCAUUCCUCUGGAAGUAACAAGGAGUUCAAGAAGGGUGAUGUUAAAAAAUUGUGGAAAAGGAGAGCUUUAAAUAAAUCUAAAAUAAUAAUGCAGUUCAUGAAAUGCAGCUUCAAAACAUUUGAUGAAAUAAAGUAGGCUACUCGCGUAACAUAAAAAGUCUGAACUCCUCGAUCAGACCAAGAGCGUCAUUGGUACACCAAAACGCAUUGUUGCAGUGUGUUCUGUGUGGCGCAUACAUGGAUUUACCCAACGUAUGCAUUAAAUUGUAUUUGUAUACUUGACGGAAAUAGUAACAAAAGUUGAAUGUUGAACUUGUUGCACACAUCCAGAAACACAAUUGUAUUACGUAAUGAAAAAAGUUUGACCUCAGAAUUUAUUAUGCAGCAUUGACGCAAUGAUGCUGUAGGUCUGAUCAAGGCGUUACUGGUGGUACAUCUUCAAAAUAAUAAUAAUGGCCACAAAUGCUUAGAGCUUGCACUGCACGUUACAUGUUUCUAAAGGCUUCUGCAUGCUUUGGUUCGGCUGGCACCUAGCAGAAAUCGGCUAGGUGAACCGAACGAGUGUGCUUGCAUACUCCCUUAAAAAAAAGCAGCGAUAGUACUGUUUGUCCAACUUGAGACUCCAUAGCCAGUAUACACUUCCUCAAAAUAGUCUGAGAACUGAAGAAAUCUGUCUAAAUUUUUACAUUGUUGAAUGACCAAUGACUGACGAAGGGGCGUAGACUUCGGCUACCGAAAUUCAGCUUGCCUCAAAGUUUUUUUUGUGUACAAACAGACCAAAAAAACUUUCUGGAGACCAAAACAAUCAAAAAAACAUCAAUGUCGUCCUAAUAUAUGCACACACUAUGCCGAACUGUUUCGGAUGGGAAGCAUGCGGACGCCUUUUGUCUCGUGUGGCCAGCCUUUCAAAUCCCCUAUUGGAAGUCUGGCCAUCUUCAGAUUUGGAUUUUUGAGUUUGAAGUGGCUGCAUUCGUUUUGUAUCUUGUACAUGUUCACGUGUUGCAAGUCAGAAUGUUUUUUUUUUUUACAUCUCUUUGGAACUAUACCAAACUCCAAUUUAGAACCUCAGACUUUAACACAAUGUGUUUCUUAGCCGUAUUCGUCAGGCAGUGGCAUAGUGUGUAAGUGUGUUUGUAGCCUACUUUGUUUUUUUCUUAGGGGAUGCUUCACUUUAUUUUCAUUGCAAAGAUGCUUCCUCCGUUAUAGAGGUUAGGCAGGGUGAUCCUACGUUAUCAGUGCAAGCAACUUCAUUUCCUAUUUGUGUUUAUUACAUCUUGGCCAUUAUCACUCGGUAUUCCACCACUCAAACACUUGUGCAUGGUCUUUUGCACUGCUUAUUAACCUUUAUGCAAUGUAUGUCACAUUAUGAGAGCUGGUAUUAUACACCACCUUGCACUUAAUAUUCUUGAAAAGUGUAUAUGUCACAAAUGCCAAAAUGUAAACAUAACUGGAGACAGUCAUUUUUAGAGGCAUGACGCAAUAGGAUUGGUAGCUAGCUAACUCUAAAUCAAUCUAUAAAACUCUAGCGUGCUAACUUGAAACAAAACUGAUGUGGCUCCAGUAAUGUUCACAUUUUAACGUUUGUGAUGUAUCCAAUUUAGAAUGGUAUUCUCAUGCUGGAGAUUAAUUAGAAAUGUAUGCUCAAUCAUUUUAAUCUGCUGCAAUAGAAUAUAUGCUAUGGAUUGCUAAAGUUUUGUACCGAAGAUAAAUAAAAUGUGCCUUAGAGUAGUGCUGUAGAACUUCUCAAAUUGUUUACUACCCCCAUUUGAACACCAUAUUAUUAGGAAAUUGGUAUCGAUCCAGAUGUUAGAUGCUUUCGCCUAUUCCAUUUUCUCCCUAAAACAAUGGAAACUAAAAUUAUAGAUUUGAGAACGAUGUAAUGAUGGUAUGUAUUUUACAUUAUAGGGUCGUCCCACAUUAAUUAAAUCUAAAAGUGGCUGUGUUUGAGCAUACCCCUUUUGAUUAGAACAAAUGAAUCAUAUUUCUCUGAUUUAAAUUAUACCCUCCCUGUAAUCAAGUGUGCUGUGUCACAACCGAUGGUGGGGACAACAAACGCCACAGAUUUUUUAAAUAAGGUCUCCGCUACAAUAUUGUGAAAAUGAAAAACACUUGAGUUUGUGAGUUUAGAUAAUUGAUUAACUGUUUUUAAAGAAAUUAUUAAACAACCUUAUACUCUGAGACAGUGAGACGACCUAAUGAUGGCUCUUUUUCAAAGGGGUCUGCAAUUAUAAUUAAGACAAAUGUUCUAUUAUAUUUUUAUUUUAUCAUUUACGAAAAAGAGUUCUCUGUAUGCCAUGAAUCUGGUUUGCUUUAGUAAUGUGCUUUUGGGUGUAAUCUACACAUUUGAACAGAAUCUUCAUUUUCUUUGUUCUUGCCCCACAUUGUUUGGGUUACACAGGGCCAUGGGAUUGAUUUUGUGUUCGUUAUACAGCGAGACGGUGAUGGCAGCAUAUGUGCCAUGUAGAUUAGAAAAAAACACUUUCUAACUUUUAAUGCCAACCAGUUGUCAAUAAGUGUUUAUCUUAUGAGAUUUAACUCAAUUAAGGAGACAACACAUUAUAUAAAAAUGAAAUGUAAUUGUAACCAAGAGACCAUAACCUUAUGUAAGCCAUACCAACAUUCAGCCAAUUAUAUUUAGAAUGCUUUCGUUAUCACCC